rnacentral:misc_RNA from 2 species
GAGGAAAGUCCGGGCUCCAUAGAGCAGGGUGCCAGGUAACGCCUGGGGGGCGCAAGCCCACGACAAGUGCAGCAGAGAGAAGACCGCCGAUGACCCGUAAGGGCACAGGUAAGGGUGAAAGGGUGUGGUAAGAGCGCACCGUGCGGCUGGCAACAGUCCGUAGCAGGGUAAACUCCACCCGGAGCAAGACCAAAUAGGCUUCCACA